AUGAACAUAGCAGCGUUUACGUACCAUUUUCACAGUACAUUUUCGCUCACCACAGAGGGAUUUGCUUGUGCAAAUAUGUCUGAUAAUCUGCAAAUGGCACUAGUGUUGUCAGCACUUGGCCUUGCUAUUGUAGAAGAAGAAGAGAGGAAUAGGAGGCGUAAAAUUUGGAGAAAGCGCACUAAAUGGGUGAAAUCUUGGAUACUACAGCAACAAGCUCAAGGGGCUUUCCUGAAACUUUGUCGAGAGCUAGAGAUAGAUGAAACCUCCGAUUUUAAAAAUUUCGCUCGUCUUUUUCCUGUUCAGUUCCACAUGUUGACGGAACUCAUCAGUCCGAUCAUCCAAUGGCAAAACACAAACUGCCGUGAUUGUAUCUCCGUCGGGGAACACCUCAUGAUUACACUGCGGUUCUCGGCAACAGGGGAAAGCUUCAGGAGCCUUUCAUACCUGUUCCGAGUGGGGUAUCAACCAUUCGGCAAUUCAUUCCUGAAACCUGUUCUGCAAUCUAUCAGGUUUUAAAAGAUAAAUAUCUCAAGGUAUGUGAUCAUGUGUAAUAUCUGUUUAUAUAUCUAUGUAAAUUUGUUAAAGAUAUUUUCAUUUUAUGAAUCCUGUAGCUGACAUGAAAGAAGCCAACAUGUGUUCUUAGAUGUGAUUUUUUUUGUAUUUCAGUGCCCUGACACAGUGAAAAGUGGCAGCAAGUAGCACAUGGAUUUGAGACUCAGUGGAACUUCCCAAACUGCCUGCGUGCCCUGGACGGAAAACACAUCUACAUUCGCCCACCUCCUGCAUGGGAUCAACAUUCUACAAUUACAAGCAUUCAUUUUCAGUAGUUCUAAUGGCACUGGUUGACAGCAGUUACAGGUUCCUGUAUGUAGAUGGUGGGUGCAAUGGACGGAUUUCUGACGGCGGAGUAUUUGGGGGGUGCUCACUGCAGAAUGCCCUGGAAAAUAGAACUGUCAACAUCCCUGCCCCUGCACCACUUCCUGGUUCUGACCAGCUGGCUCCUUAUUGUAUUGUGGCAGAUGAGGCAUUUCCCUUGAAGGAGUAUCUCAUGAAGCCAUAUCCAAACCGCAGACUAUCAGUUCAGCAACGGAUCUUCAAUUACACACUUUCAUGAGCUUGGAGGGUGGUAGAAAACGCUUUUGGUAUCCUUGCAAAUCGUUUUAGAAUCUUUCUAAACACCAUUAACAUUCAAGAUACUGCCAAAGUGGAGGAUAUUGUUUUAGCUUGCUGUGCUCUGCACAACUUUCUGCGGGCAGAAUGUGGUGAGCUAUACAUGGAAGAAAGGGCCAGAUGAUGACACUGUUUCAGGAAGAUGGAGACAAGACCCAGACUUACUGCAGGCCCCCCUGCCAUACACCACCAAUACAACAACAAGAGCCAAGCGGAGCAGGGACGAACUAUGCCAGUACUUUAUUUCAGAAAUUGGUGCAGUGCCUUUCCAGUGGAGCAAAAUAUAGCGAGUGUGUAUAUGUAUACAAAGUUUAGUAAAUGAGUAGAUAUUGUACACUGACAUACUUGUUUACAGUACUAGACCUUGUUUUCAGUUUUAUGAUUACAGUGUGACAUUGCUAAAUAAAACUAAAUGUUUUUUUUUUUUCA
ensembl:lncRNA